AGCCUGAUGCAGCGACGCCGCGUGAGGGAUGACGGCCUUCGGGUUGUAAACCUCUUUCAGCAGGGACGAAGCGCAAGUGACGGUACCUGCAGAAGAAGCACCGGCUAACUACGUGCCAGCAGCCGCGGUAAUACGUAGGGUGCAAGCGUUGUCCGGAAUUACUGGGCGUAAAGAGUUCGUAGGCGGUUUGUCGCGUCGUUUGUGAAAACCAGCAGCUCAACUGCUGGCUUGCAGGCGAUACGGGCAGACUUGAGUACUGCAGGGGAGACUGGAAUUCCUGGUGUAGCGGUGAAAUGCGCAGAUAUCAGGAGGAACACCGGUGGCGAAGGCGGGUCUCUGGGCAGUAACUGACGCUGAGGAACGAAAGCGUGGGUAGCGAACAGGAUUAGAUACCCUGGUAGUCCACGCCGUAAACGGUGGGCGCUAGGUGUGGGUUCCUUCCACGGAAUCCGUGCCGUAGCUAACGCAU
rnacentral:rRNA from 1 species